rnacentral:rRNA from 1 species
CGCGUAGGCGGAUUCGCAAGUCAGGGGUGAAAUCCCGAGGCUCAACCUCGGAACUGCCUUUGAUACUGCGGAUCUCGAGUCCGAGAGAGGUGAGUGGAAUUCCUAGUGUAGAGGUGAAAUUCGUAGAUAUUAGGAAGAACACCAGUGGCGAAGGCGGCUCACUGGCUCGGUACUGACGCUGAGGCGCGAAAGCGUGGGGAGCAAACA